UCUCUUCUGCGUGGUUCGCCACCGCUCUUGUUGGUUGAGCCGAUGCCGUUGAAACGGGAGGCCGACGCCGUUUAUAAGCCAGUGCAUUCUCUCAGAGAUAGAGAACUGCCAGAGGCUGCGGCUCUUCAAAGGCCACCCACCUGUCUAAGCAGGUUCAACCACGGCUGCGGAACGGCCUUGCGGAUGCCCC
rnacentral:other from 2 species